AUUGACUUCAUCGGGGUUUGGA
rnacentral:miRNA from 1 species